GGAAGUGUGGCAGAGCGGUUGAAUGCACUAGUCUUGAAAACUAGCAUGGAUAAAACCAUCAGGGGUUCGAAUCCUCUCACUUCCGCAA
rnacentral:tRNA from 2 species